GCAGCCGCGGUAAUACGUAGGUGGCAAGCGUUGUCCGGAUUUACUGGGUGUAAAGGGCGUGUAGGCGGGACAGCAAGUCAGAUGUGAAAUUCCGGGGCUCAACCUCGGAACUGCAUUUGAAACUGUUGUUCUUGAGUAUCGGAGAGGCAGGCGGAAUUCCUAGUGUAGCGGUGAAAUGCGUAGAUAUUAGGAGGAACACCAGUGGCGAAGGCGGCCUGCUGGACGACAACUGACGCUGAGGCGCGAAAGCGUGGGGAGCAAACAGGAUUAGAUACCCC
rnacentral:rRNA from 1 species